UUUUAUGAGAGUUUGAUCCUGGCUCAGGACGAACGCUGGCGGCGUGCCUAAUACAUGCAAGUCGAACGCUUCUUUUUCCACCGGAGCUUGCUCCACCGGAAAAAGAGGAGUGGCGAACGGGUGAGUAACACGUGGGUAACCUGCCCAUCAGAAGGGGAUAACACUUGGAAACAGGUGCUAAUACCGUAUAACAAUCGAAACCGCAUGGUUUUGAUUUGAAAGGCGCUUUCGGGUGUCGCUGAUGGAUGGACCCGCGGUGCAUUAGCUAGUUGGUGAGGUAACGGCUCACCAAGGCGACGAUGCAUAGCCGACCUGAGAGGGUGAUCGGCCACAUUGGGACU
rnacentral:rRNA from 1 species